rnacentral:tRNA from 1 species
CAAGGAAUAGUUUAGUCAGAAUUUCAGCUUUGGGAGUUGACGGC